CCAGACUCCUACGGGAGGCAGCAGUGAGGAAUAUUGGUCAAUGGCCGCAGGGCUGAACCAGCCAAGUCGCGUGAGGGAUGACGGUCCUAUGGAUUGUAAACCUCUUUUGUCAGGGAGCAAAGGGCGCCACGUGUGGCGUUUUGCGAGUACCUGAAGAAAAAGCAUCGGCUAACUCCGUGCCAGCAGCCGCGGUAAUACGGAGGAUGCGAGCGUUAUCCGGAUUUAUUGGGUUUAAAGGGUGCGUAGGCGGAAUAUCAAGUCAGCGGUAAAAAUUCGGGGCUCAACCCCGUCGUGCCGUUGAAACUGAUGUUCUUGAGUGGGCGAGAAGUAUGCGGAAUGCGUGGUGUAGCGGUGAAAUGCAUAGAUAUCACGCAGAACUCCGAUUGCGAAGGCAGCAUACCGGCGCCCAACUGACGCUGAAGCACGAAAGCGUGGGUAUCGAACAGGAUUAGAUACCCUGGUAACU
rnacentral:rRNA from 1 species